AUUUUAAAAGAUUUUUUUUACAAGACGAUGUUUUUGCAUACAUUUUAUCUUUUCUUUCCACAAAAAAACUGUUUCAACGACAGUAUUCUCCAGAAAGUGAAAGAAUGUGUUUGUUCUUUUUCGGCGUUUUAACCUUGAUUAUGCUAUACAAUAACAUGAUAGUAUCAAGGAAUUCAUUGAUUUUGUGAAGUGUUUGUUUAAUCGGAAAAUCAAGUCGAGUAUAAAGAACCUCUUUUUAAAGAUUCAUCUGGAUGAUGAAAAUCCUCACCUAGACCAAACUCUUGUUUGUAGCUCGAUAUGCAAUGUGCUUCAAGGUGAUGUUGUUGCGGAUAUUGAUAUGUUCAUCACUUUAACAAGGGAUUAUUUCCAUCUUGCAGGUUUGUCUUUGUUGAUCUUCAAGUGUAAGAUACUAGUUAAGCUGAGAUUACAACGCGAUUAAGCUGAAACUGCAUAGGAGAGAUUAUUUAAAUAUUAUAAAAAUUAUCCUCUUAUAUAAUUUAUUGUUUGGUUUAUCUCUUAUAUUUAAUCGUUCGUUUUGUACGUCAGCAAGAUUCUUGUAAAGGAUCAAAUAUCUUCACAAAUUCACAGUAUGGUACUUAUUGGUAAGUUGAUUGUGUACAAUUU
rnacentral:sRNA from 1 species